ACAUUUAAAUGCGUGCGCGAGUUUGUAUAACAUCUACAUUCAGAGGUCAAUGCAGGACACCGAUAAUUUUUUAAAUGUUCAUAAUAUAUCGAAUCAUGGAAAAUAAUUCUUGGCACACAAUAAAGAUCUCUCACGACAAUCACGUGCCAAACUGCGCCUGAAUACAGCACUGAGAAGUCAUUAAGCCGUUUCAGAACAAGCCGUGACUUGUCGAUGGGCUUUUAGAGGCAGACUGUAAAAGCGGAAAUGAAAUUUCAAGACGAACAAUGAUCGAAACGUCUGAUAACUCCAAAGACUGGCUAAACUGGUUAAACGAGCUAUUAAUUCUUGAGCUUACCAGAGACCUGAACAUUACAAAAACGAUUUCCUCGUCUUCCGAAAACACGUCAACGGAAGACAGAUCGUGGUACUGGUCAUUUGGAAGAACGAAAAAGUGCUGUUUCAAGCAACCACAUGUAUUUUUCAACCCUGACACUGGCAGAAUUGUCAACCUAUUGACAGAAGCCAUAA